GGAAUAUGUUUUUAACAAAAAAAAGCUGCUAACUUUUAUUUUUAAUGAUUAAAUCUCAUUUAUAUUCCU
rnacentral:tRNA from 1 species